CGCACAGUGGAUCCUCGGCAUAUAAGUCUACGCCAAUCCUUGAUC
rnacentral:misc_RNA from 1 species